GACGAACGCUGGCGGCGUGCCUAAUACAUGCAAGUAGAACGCAGUUGCGAACGGGUGAGUAACGCGUAGGUAACUGCCUCAUAGCGGGGGAAAACUAUUGGAAACGAUAGCUAAUACCGCAUACUGUGAGAUGGACCUGCGGUGUAUUAGCUAGUUGGUGAGGUAAAGGCUCACCAAGGCGCCGAUGCAUAGCCGACCUGAGAGGUUGUUCGGCCCCACUGGGACUGUGCCACGUCCCAGACUCCUCCGGGCGUCAGCCGUAGGGAAUCUUCGGCAAUUGACGAAAGUCUGACCGAGCAACGCCGCGUGAGUGAAGAAGUUUUUCGGAUCGUAAACCUCUGUUGUUAGAGAAGCGGGAUCUAACCAGAAAGCCACGGCUAACUACGUGCCAGCAGCCGCGGUAAUAC
rnacentral:rRNA from 1 species